CUUCCCUGCUGUAAACACAAUUUGCCCUUUGGGGAUGAAUAAAGUUUCAACACGAGUCCCGAUGAACAAUGUCACCACCUUCAAAGACGUCGGCUCGUAACUGGGUCGACAGGAGCGGCUGUGUGUCGCUGUAUCCACUCGAUGGAAGCUGCGGACAAUAUCACACGUGCAAAGUAAAAAGAAAGCAAAGAAAUGUGCAAACAAAAUGGCAGAGGUGACGUGCAAACUGCGAGGAGACGAUGAGGGGAUGACACGACGGCGGCAAAAGGGAAACGACGACAGAUGUGGGGCCACAUUAAGCAGCAGGUAUUAAGGACGUCAGGCAGAUGCAAGCGCCACUGAAAGGUAACAACACGCUCGUUAACAAGCCGCUGCAAACGGGAAACCAAAGUGAAAUGUACAACAGCAGGGAAAUGUGUAAACAACAGUAAUACGCUUUAGAGAAAUAUAUGAGAACAACACUACUUUAACACAAACAGGACGAAUGGGUGAAGAGAACAAAACCUUCAG